rnacentral:rRNA from 1 species
AGCAGCCGCGGUAAUUCCAGCUCCAAUAGCGUAUAUUAAAGUUGUUGCAGUUAAAAAGCUCGUAGUUGAAUUUCGGGGUUAGUAGAUUGGUCAUGCCUCUGGUAUGCACUGGUCUUACUGAUUCCUCCUUCCUGAUGAACCGUAAUGCCAUUAAUUUGGUGUUGCGGGGAAACUGGACUGUUACUUUGAAAAAUUAGAGUGUUUAAAGCAGGCUAACGCUUGAAUACAUUAGCAUGGAAUAAUAAAAUAGGACGUUCGAUCUUAUUUUGUUGGUUUCUAGGAUUGACGUAAUGAUUAAUAGGGAUAGUUGGGGGCAUUAGUAUUCAAUUGCCAGAGGUGAAAUUCUUGGAUUUAUUGAAGACUAACUACUGCGAAAGCAUUUGCCAAGGAUGUUUUCAUUAAUCAAGAACGAAAGUUAGGGGAUCGAAGACGAUCAGAUACCGUCGUAGUCUUAACCAUAAACUAUGCCGACUAGGGAUCGGAUGAUGUUAAUUUUAAUGACUCAUUCGGCGCCUUAAC